AACGGAGAGGGCGAGUGUUACUCAUAAUGACUGGGCGUAAAGGGUAUGUAGGCUGUUAGGUAAGCGGUUAGUGAAAUCAAAGAGUAAUGCCUUUAAACGCUUUCUGAACUACCUAACUUUGAGUGUUACUAAGGAUACUGGUACUUUUAAAGGAGAGGUGAUAUUCUAUGAUCUUAAGAGGACAACCGAAGGCGAAGGCAAGUAUCUGGGUGGCACUGACGCUGAGGUACUGAAGCGUGGGGAGCAAAUCGG
rnacentral:rRNA from 1 species